CGGACGGGUGAGUAACGCGUGGGUAACCUGCCUUGUACAGGGGGAUAACAGUUGGAAACGGCUGCUAAUACCGCAUAAGCGCACGGCAUCGCAUGAUGCAGUGUGAAAAACUCCGGUGGUAUAAGAUGGACCCGCGUUGGAUUAGCUAGUUGGUGAGGUAACGGCCCACCAAGGCGACGAUCCAUAGCCGACCUGAGGGGUGACCGGCCACAUUGGGACUGAGACACGGCCCAA
rnacentral:rRNA from 1 species